ensembl:lncRNA
UAUCUGUCCGAGCCACGGACUGCCAGCUUGUGGAGGAGAAUACUGUGGGAGACAGUGUCAAAGGCUUUGCUGAAGUCUAGGUAGACCACAUCAACAGCCUUUCCCUCAUCCACCAGAUGGGUCACUGGAUCAUAGAAGGAGAUCAGCCAAAUUUGAAAAAUACUAUAAUCAGUCUCUAUGAUUAAAUUGCUUUCAAAACUGACACUUGCUAAGAGCGAAGACAAUAUUCUGGUGCCAGUGCAUUUCUCCAGCGGAAAUAUGCAGACUUAGAUGUAAAGGAACUCUGAAAUAUAUUUCAAAACUUGUAUGAUUCACAUCACAUGCUAGGUGGAGGAUCAAGAAGGUAGAAAAAAAUUCCUUCCUUCAGUGUGGGGAUCAAAGUUCUGCCUGGUGGAAGGAGUUAACAUUGUCCAGAAAAAUGCUGAGGUAUUUGGUACCUUUUAGUUUUUUACAAGUAUAUUUAUCCCAUUCUACUCACAAGUGACUUGAAUAUUCUGUUUUGACUGUCCAAUUGCUAUUUGUCAUCUAGUGAAUAACUCACAAGACACUUAGUAAGAAUCAAAAGGAUAAGUGACAGCAGACAUCAAGAACACUUGAUACCGCUUCUGCAAGAUGGACAUGUAGAGUAUCUUUCUUUCAUACAAGUGUGAAAAAUUUAGUCGUGUAUUUGAGAGAUUUCUAUGUGCUUUCAUUAGUGAAUUAUUCAAAUCUCUGUCUGUAAAGGUAUACUAAAGUAAUUUGAGUUACAUACAUAAAUAUAAACAAACAAAACUCCAUAACCAUUUAUGAGUAUGAUAUAUUGCAUAAUACCUCUAAGAAGUAUGACCAAGGUCUUUUAUUUUUAGCUGUAUUUCCCUGAAAUUCUUCUAACAACUUCAAUUUUUCUUUUGUGUCAUCACUCUAUUUUCUGUAGAGUCUUACAGACAAGUAAAUUAACUAAAAAAUUACCUUCUUCAAGCUUUUUCUUGGAAAAGUGAUUAUGAGUUCAUCAAUAUCACUGCUUGGUACUUAUGUCAGAAGUAGCUGUAACUGUCUUUGUGGUUUGGUAUUUCUCAUCAAAGUAUUCCCUGGUACUUCUGUUCUUAUAUUUAUUACUUUCAAGUUUUGCAGCUCACUUUCUUAGUUUAAUGCGGCAUUUUUUAAACUUGGCUACCUCUGUACUACUUAAGUACUCUUCCUUCAGUGAUAAUUAGUCAUCUGAAACAUAAAUAACCCUCUGCUCCAGGUUAAACUGGUGUCAGCGUGUUGUGUUGGCUGGAGCAUUACUUUUGUUUGCCUUCACAUACAUUUCAAGACUAGUCUUUCUAGCAUGCCGUGGGAUAGUCUGUACAGACCUCCACAUGUUCACCUCUUGUGUUUCGUUCGGACUCAGCCUUCCAGAGAGCACUUCAUUGCUAAAUGGAAAGUUUUAAUUUGGCUUUCCCUAUUUUUAAAAUAUACAUGUACUUGCCUUCCUGGAAGUCUACAAUAUUUCACUUGUCUCAAAGGACUCUUGGCAGACUGCUUCAGUGUCAGUUUUGUGUUUGACACAUGACUUGGCUACAACUUCUGUUUGCAUGAUUGGGAUGAGACUUUAAACACUUUGAGGUUAAAGGAUUCCUCAAUAGUGGGUGGGCAUAUUGUGUAAUUUUCCUUUAUAGCAAUUGUAUUUUCAUAUCUGAAUCCUACUUAGUCUGCACUAAAGAUGUUUCCAUGAUCAUGAUAGCUUUUGAUUUUUCUGGGUGGAAAAUUGAUUAAAUAAAUCAUGGAAGGAAAAUUAUGUUUGUAAGUAUGCUUUUCCCAUCACAAGAUCACAAGAUGUCUACCAGAUAAAGACCAAAAAUUGCAUGUAAACCUGUAAACAGUGAGACAAUAUUGUUAGGAGAGGAGUUUUUUUGUUGUUAUUUCUCUUUUGUUGUUGUUGCUUUUGUUGUAUAGUUUUGUUUCAUUUUGUUUUGUUUUAAUUUUCCUACCGUUACUUAUGGUCGUGAAUAAUACAAUACAGUUAACAAUAUUUGCACAAAUCUAAUAAAAUGCAGCCUUAAAAAACAUAUCACAAUCUAUGACAUAAGUGAAAAUAAGUCUAAAUGGAAUAAAAUAGGCCUGUUCA